GAUGAAGAACGUAGCGAAAUGCGAUAAGUAAUGUGAAUUGCAGAAUUCAGUGAAUCAUCGAAUCUUUGAACGCACAUUGCGCCCGGCAGUAUUCUGCCGGGCAUGCCUGUUCGAGCGUCAUUUCAACCAUCAAGCCCCCGGGCUUGUGUUGGGGACCUGCGGCUGCCGCAGGCCCUGAAAAGCAGUGGCGGGCUCGCUGUCACACCGAGCGUAGUAGAUUUUAUCUCGCUCUGGGCGUGCUGCGGGUUCCGGCCGUUAAACCACCCUUUUAACCCAAGGUUGACCUCGGAUCAGGUAGGAAGACCCGCUGAACUUAAGCAUAUCAAUAAGCGGAGGA
rnacentral:misc_RNA from 1 species